GUACCGGAGAAAAACAAAACAAAAAAUAAUAAUAAUAAUAAUAAGUAUGUCUUUUACCUCGUGACUCGCCUCAAGCUGCUCUCCCUCUGCUCUUCCUCAACAACCACUGGCAACUUCUGCACCAUGCCCACCAAGUGCCCCGGGACUUGCGCACCUUUAUUUGGUACCUGUGCCAUAUCUCUGCAUUUAUCAUUAGGGUAUAAUGAGGAGGACCACCAGUUCCAGUCUGGCAUUUACUACUGCCCCUGAUAAGUGAAAAUGUUAGUUAAUCAGGUAAGUGUUAGGCAAUUACUUACCCCGGUGAAUUAAUUAGAGUAACAUAUCUGUUUCCAGUGCAGGUUUUGUCAGCCAAUGACCUUGGUCCUGAGACAGUGCCAAAUGGUGCCAGGUAAGCUGUACAGGCUCUGUACACCAACUCCCUCAGACAUUCAGAUGGAUGGUCAUCACUUGAGUGAAACUCAAAACAGUCAUACUUAGUCUAUAAAAAUAGAGCGUGAAUUAAUGUCUUCUGAGCAAUCUAAUGCUACUCUUCCCAGUUUCAGUGUUCUGAAGGCUCAGUCUGACUCUUACGGCAGGUUAUUUCUUGACUUUUUUUUUUUUUUGAUAGACUACUUUGCAAAAGGCCAGUCACCUCAGCAGCUGGGGAAAGGUUUUAUUUUUAGAAAGCAGGCACACAGGAGUACACAAGGCCAACUCAGGGUCAGCCACAGGGUGUUUUGCCAAAAAGGCUGUGGGCCAGCAGGGCCGUGUGACUCAGCCCAGCCUUGUGGUCAGGAGGGUCCUGCACCAGCCCAUCAGAUCUACGCUCCUCCACAACGUCUGGACUUCGAAGAUACACUUCACUUCCCCCUUCCUCCCCGCAGUGCCUCUCAUCCCAUGAGUGACCUGAGGUUAAAUGUAUUGUUCUCUAAUAACCGACCCAGACAACUGUGA
rnacentral:lncRNA from 1 species